UGUGGACACACCCCAUAUUCUGCUAUAAAUGCCGGGUUGAUGCCCACAGAAAGGCACAGCACGAGGUCAACUCUUCAUAAUUCCUUCCGACUCGUCAGCAUUACUUCCGUCGCUUCAACAUGAGCUGCCCAUCGAAGAAGCCUGAAGAACUGGAGGCCAAGUUCAAGGCUCUUGACAAGGAUGGCAACAAAAGCUUGAGCAAGGCGGAGCUGAAGGCCGGACUCGCGUCCCUUGGACUCAGCGAGGCACAACUGGACAGCUUCUACCUGGCAGCAGACAAGGACAAGGAUGGCAAGAUCAGCUGCAGCGAGUUCGUCAAAUACUUCCAGCAAAAGAAGUAAAGAGUGACAGUGGAAGCUGAAAACCGACCACACAGCCCCGUGCACACUGCAACACUCGGACACACACCAACAGGCGCGCACACACACACGAUGCACACUGUCACACCGCCAACACGCGCAUACCACCAGCACGUGUUCAAAGCACACACCGACUCAGCACACACUUCCUUCACCACACGGACACAAAUAUCAUAUCCUAAACAAUGACGGUGCUUAGCACGAAUAAUAUCUGUCAUAUGUGUAGUGUAAUGUAAUUGACAUCAUAAAUGCAUAUUACUAUACUGUAGGAAAGGUAUUUCAGGCAUAUAUGUAUAGUCCAAAAAUACAUACGCAUAUGCAUUUGAUAACAGAACACACACAAACGAUACAAAACCACCUCGAAAGCUGUCUGGUUUUCUCUAUUUCCUCUGGGGUUCCUGGUGAGGUGAUAUGAAUUGAACUGGAAAUAAAAUGACAAUCUACCAGUG